UGAACUAGAUCACCUGAUGAUUGGUUGAUUUGUUGAAUCAGGUGUGGGUUUGAUGAAUAGUUGAAUCAGGUUUGGGUUUGAUGAUUAGUUGAAUCAGGUUUGGGUUUGAUGAUUAGUUGAAUCAGGUUUGGGUUUGAUGAUUAGUUGAAUCAGGUUUGGGUUUGAUGAUUAGUUGAAUCAGGUUUGGGUUUGAUGAUUAGUUGAAUCAGGUUUGGGUUUGAUGAAUAGUUGAAUCAGGUUUGGGUUUGAUGAUUAGUUGAAUCAGGUUUGGGUUUGAUGAUUAGUUGAAUCAGGUUUGGGUUUGAUGAAUAGUUGAAUCAGGUUUGGGUUUGAUGAUUAGUUGAAUCAGGUUUGGGUUUGAUGAUUAGUUGAAUCAGGUUUGGGUUUGAUGAUUAGUUGAAUCAGGUUUGGGUUUGAUGAAUAGUUGAAUCAGGUUUGGGUUUGAUGAUUAGUUGAAUCAGGUUUGGGUUUGAUGAUUAGUUGAAUCAGGUUUGGGUUUGAUGAUUAGUUGAAUCAGGUUUGGGUUUGAUGAUUAGUUGAAUCAGGUUUGGGUUUGAUGAUUAGUUGAAUCAGGUUUGGGUUUGAUGAUUAGUUGAAUCAGGUGUGGGUUUGAUGAUUAGUUGAAUCAGGUGUGGGUUUGAUGAUUAGUUGAUAAGUUGAAUCAUGUUUGAGUUUGAUGAUUUGUUGAUAAGUUGAAUCAGGUGUGGGUUUGAUGAUUUGUUGAUAAGUUGAAUCAGGUGUGGGUUUGAUGAAUAGUUGAAUUAGGUGUCUGUUUGAUGAAUGGUUGAUAAGUUGAAUCAGGUUUGAGUUUGAUGAUUUGUUGAUAAGUUGAAUCAGGUUUGAGUUUGAUGAAUGGUUGAUAAGUUGAAUCAGGUUUGAGUUUCAUGAUUUGUUGAUAAGUUGAAUCAGGUUUGAGUUUGAUGAUUAGUUGAUAAGUUGAAUCAGGUGUGGGUUUGAUGAUUAGUUGAUAAGUUGAAUCAGGUGUGGGUUUGAUGAUUAGUUGAUAAGUUGAAUCAGGUGUGGGUUUGAUGAAUAGUUGAUAAGUUGAAUCAGGUGUGGGUUUGAUGAUUGGUUGAUAAGUUGAAUCAGGUGUGGGUUUGAUGAAACGUUGAUAAGUUGAAUCAGGUGUGGGUUUGAUGAAUAGUUGAUAAGUUGAAUCAGGUGUGGGUUUGAUGAUUAGUUGAUAAGUUGAAUCAGGUGUGGGUUUGAUGAAUAGUUGAUAAGUUGAAUCAGGUGUGGGUUUGAUGACUAGUUGAUAAGUUGAAUCAGGUGUGGGUUUGAUGAUUAGUUGAUAAGUUGAAUCAGGUGUGGGUUUGAUGAUUAGUUGAUAAGUUGAAUCAGGUGUGGGUUUGAUGAUUAGUUGAUAAGUUGAAUCAGGUGUGCUAGAUCGGAAACAGAUGAAGCGGGACAACCAAGGUACCAUAGCAACAGACAUCUAAGCCCCUGUUCCUGUUUGUUUGUGCGUGUC